UGGAGAGAUUCAGUGAAUGAGACAAAGUUGGCUAUGAGGCGGAGGAGGAGGUGGGCAGGGUGACGACAUGCAUGUGGAGCAGGGAGAUGGAGCGCUGCUUGAGCCUCUCUGACGCUGAGCGGUUUGAAGCAAAGCUUCAGCAGAUGGAUGCAAACCGCAGCAGACAGCACAGCCUUAAGCAUGAAGUUUGACCUUACGCAUCCACGCCUCCAUGCGCUUAGACGCCGCUUUGUUGGCAGAGGUCGCCAACUCUGC